rnacentral:lncRNA from 1 species
AUGAUCUCCAGUUGGUUUUUUUGCUUCUGGCUCUGUUUUCAUUCUGCUGCCAAACCCAUCACCCUAAAGGACGACGUUGAUCCUCUCAUGGCCUGCUCAGAAAUGUUCGCUGGGCCUCCCGUGUGGCCGGCACCCCUCGCUUUCCAGUUUUCCAUCCUCCUGCUUCCGGGGUCUCCGGGAUCGGCGGGCCCCUUUGCAUUGCAUUUAUGCUCCUCUCAUCCCCCCACUGCCACCCUGGGCUCUUCGUCGGAACCGUCCCCUCCGUGCCCUCGGCCAAGUGGGCCAGAAUUCCUGUGGCGAUGGCCUGGCUCGCGUCAUGGAUGCUCCAUUGCAGCGCCGAGUGCCCACCCUCUCCAAGGGGCCUUCUUAGUCCUCCCCCGACAUAAACACUGGGGGCUGGGGGGAGGCGCGGAAGUCAUUUCAGUGUGUGGUGGGCCCCCAGCGGGCACCUGGAGAGCACACGGACGGGGCUCCGUCUGUGAGGAAGGUCAGGCAAAGUGGAAAGAGACAGAACGUUCAGAGGAGGAUUGGAUCGUUCCAUUCAAUUUGACGUCUAUUAAGAGAGGACGGUGUCUGGAGAACAUGGUAGAAACCGAACAGUGGGUAAACCACUGCUCCUGCUCCAAGGACCUUGCAAUCUAUUGGGGUGGGGCGGUGUCGUUACACUCACACUCACACUCACACACACACACUCGCAUGUGCGUGCACCCUUACUCACACACACUCAUACACACACACACUCACACGUGUACGCACCCUUACUCACACUCAUAUACACACUCACACUCUCACACCACUUACUCACACACAUGCACACACACUCAUACAAACUCACACACACACACUCACACACUCGCAUGUGUGUGCACACUUACACACACUCAUACGUGUAUGCACCCUUACUCACACACACUCAUACACACUCACUCACACACACUUGCAUAUGCAUGCACACUUACACACACACUCAUACGUGUAUGCACCCUUACUCACACACACUCAUACACACACUCACACUCACACACUUACUCACACACAUGCACACACUCAUACAAACUCACACACACACACACUCACACACACACAGCCAUGAUUAAAAACCAGGUGGGAUUGCGUGUGAGAUAA